rnacentral:rRNA from 1 species
UACGGGGGGAGCAAGCGUUGUUCGGAUUUACUGGGCGUAAAGGGUGCGUAGGCGGCCAGCACAAGUCAGUUGUGAAAUCUCCGAGCUUAACUCGGAAAGGUCAACUGAUACUGUGCGGCUAGAGUGCGGAAGGGGCAACUGGAAUUCUUGGUGUAGCGGUGAAAUGCGUAGAUAUCAAGAGGAACACCUGCGGCGAAGGCGGGUUGCUGGGCCGACACUGACGCUGAUGCGCGAAAGCUAGGGGAGCGAACGGG